UACGGAGGGUGCGAGCGUUGUCCGGAAUCAUUGGGCGUAAAGGGCGCGUAGGUGGCUCGGUCAGCGUGCGGUGAAAGCUCGGGGCUCAACCCCGAGUCGGCCGUGCGAACUGCUGGGCUUGAGCACUGUAGAGGCAGGCGGAAUUACCGGUGUAGCAGUGAAAUGCGUAGAGAUCGGUAGGAACACCAAUGGCGAAGGCAGCUUGCUGGCAUGUAUCUGACGCUAAGGCACGAAAGCGUGGGGAGCGAACGGG
rnacentral:rRNA from 1 species